UGGGAAGCAGGCUGUUAGUCAGGUGGUAAUCGGUGUGGUUCUGUUUGUUGAUGAUAUUUAAGAAUGAGAAUUUUGAUUGUAAAGGCACAAUGGACUUGGAGUGGGGCCUGUUCUUAUACACUGAAAAAACCAUAUGUAUAGAAUAUUUUUUUACAGUUUUUCAUAACACUUUCUUUGCCAGAAGACGCUGUUUGGAUUUCACGAGCCACUCUCUUCAAAGUGCUGGGAGUGCUCUGUGUGGCAUGCGCUGGUAUUAUUGGAAGCCAGUAUAUGAACACUUCCAUCUGAGACUGGGUUGCCUCGAGCGUGCUCCGUGCCCACAGGUCCUGUGUCCAUCUGGAUCUUAAUUACCAUCCAAAAUAAAAAAAAAUCAUCAUGCAAUAUUUUUGUGUCCAUACAUUUACAUUUAAAAGCAAACAUUUAUCACUCUUUAAAACAUCACUGUGCAUUUUAGAUCCUUACUCCUUAGAACAGAUGUCUCUGCUACAGAAAAGUAGGGAACAUGUUUUGAAUUUUACUCCUUGGAACAAAUGUCUCUCUUACAGAAAAAUAGGGAAUAUGUUUUGAAUUAUUUUGAUAUAUUCACUAUUUUUCCAAUCAAUUUUGAUUUUUAAAUGUCUGUUUUUCAGGCCUGUGGUUCUCUCAUCACACUAUCCAAUUUUGAUAAAUGUCUUUAUUGACAUCACUAUAAAACAAAGUAGGUCAACUAGACUGGUUCACCAAGGCCCUAUAGAUCAGGACUAGGGUUGAUAUGAAGCACUUAGUGAAGAAAAGCUUUAUGCUACGAAGGGUUGAUGCACAAUAAAGUAUGAUUUAUGCUCAAGUGUAAAGGUCCUGUUGAAUUUUAUAGACUACAGGUGCUGUUCCUCCUUCUGCCAUCUGAACAUGAAUCAGCAAUUGCAAAAAAAAAAGUAAAUGCACUUUUGGGUUGUGUUAACAGAGGCCUAGCAUGCAGGUCACAGGAGGUGACCACUCAACGCAGUGCUGAGUAGGCCUCCGCUCGAGUCCUGUAUUCAGUUUUGGUCAGUAAUAAAUAGAAAGGAUGUAGAGAAACUAGAAAGGAUCCAGAGGCAAGCAACACGCAAAUCCCUAAACUUGGGCUUGUGUUUUCUCUUUCUGGUUUUAUUUACCGCCUAGUUGAUUCUUUCUCUUGUGACCCCCUUAUUCAAAGUAAAAAAAAUUUGCCCUCUGUAAUAUAGCAAGGUUUCUGGGGGCACCACUGAGAGGAUCAAAUCAGGGAAAAUUGCUUAGAAACAAUGUUUUCUUAUUACAUUUAGUUUAAUCUCAUUUUGUGUCUUGGAUUUUCCAGUUUUGUCUCUACAUGUUUGUGGUGUUUGUUUAUCUUCAUUCUUCAUAAUUUGAUCCAUUUCCCUUUUUUAGUAGGAUUCAUUUUUGGGCUUUAAAUCGUUGAAGUUCUCCUGGUGGUCUCUUGCCAUAUUUCCUGUCUUUCCUACGCAGUAGGAUAGUUUGCUCUUGUGCUGUUCACAAUUUGAGCUGAACUGUUUCCAUAACUCACUGCAUCAGCAUCAUUAAAGCGUAGGGAUCAAACUAACUCACUGACAAAGACCAGAUUACCUUUUUAUGUAGGGUUACUAGUAGCACACACUUCUUGCUUGAUCCUUGUUUUUUCUCCACUGUAACCUCUUCGUCCAGGGCCAUCCCUACCAAUAUACAAAAUGCACAGCCUCCUAGGGCACCACGAAAUUUGGGGUGCCAAAUUGCCCGUUUUCGUAGCGCUCUAGGCAGCGGUACAUGGGACAGUGAGAGCUCUGUCAGUCCACUUCAUCCCCCAGCUGUCUCUCCUUCCCCGCAGACAGUAGUGACCAGGGCCAUGCCUGGGUGAGUGUAGGACCCGCAACAACCUCAUGCUCUGCCUCCUUCCUUCCCCUAUUCCACUCCUUCCUCCAAAUCCCUGCUCCUCCUCUUAUCAGCCCCGUUCCAUCUCUUCCCCCAGUCCUUGCCCCCAAGCAACGUGGCCUGGAUGGAUUAUUGGGGGCCCGGAGUUGGCAGUAGGAGUUGGGGCCCACCACUGCACUCACUGGCAGCAGCGGGAAGUAAAGCCUGCUCCAUUCCCUGCCGCCAGUGAAUAUGGGGCAGUUCUAUCUCUUCCCCCAAGCUUCCCCUCUACCCCCCAGCAAUGUAGCAGGGAGUCAUUCUUUUACCUGCUGCAACCAGGUGUGGGCUUAACCCCUGCUGCCUUGCCUCCCUGUUCUGCUCUUCCCCCUGCAGCCAUGGGCCAGCCCCCUACAGCUCCUGGCCCUGCAGCUCUUGAGUGCAGCCACCACUGCACCAGGGGUUGUAGGUGUUUGGUGCUCUGUGCAGCCUCGAAGUGCUAGGGAUGGCUGUGCCUUCCACGUGUAAAUCCAUUCUGUGUUUCAUACAGAGGGACAUCAGUUGGGCUCAGUAGCCAUCCCUCCAGCAGCUUCACAUUGUAUCUGGCUCUGUGCCGACUGCAGUUGCCUUGGUUGCGGCUGUAAUCGAACAGGGAUGUUUUCAAGCAGACAAAGAUUUAAUAAAGAACAGAAUGAGCAGGAUUUAAAAGAAUCAUUAUUGUUUCAUAGUGCUCCCUUCAAGCAGCACAGACCCUUGCACUUUGGUUAUUAACCAAAAGAUGGGUCGGGGAUAGGUGCGGGGCAAGGGAUUUGUCAGAACUGAUCUGGUAGCUGCUGGCAGUGGAACUGUAUUUCGUUGAGAUGAUGGGGGUCAGGUAUGACAUAAUGGGGAUUCUCUUCACUCUUGGAGUCACUGUAUUCGCUCUGUCUGUUUGCCUUGUGGAUUUGUAUGUGAUUCUACUGUCCUGCAUUGUUCUUUAGUAACUCUCUGAACUAAGGAGGGGUGGAGUUGCCUAGAGGGCUGGGACCAGUUGCUAGUUGUGUGCGUUUAGUUUUUGAGGCUGGCUGAGGGAAAAGGGAGUCUAACUGGCUUGGGGAGCCUGGCUCUGGGCUCCCUAUCCCCAAGAUGGAUUGUACUGAAUGCUCCUGGUUCCUGUAACAACAAGUCUGUGCUACACUGUGUCCCUGUGAACCAAUAAACCUUCUGUUCUGCUUGCUGGCUGAGAGACACAUCUGACAGCAGAUAGGCGUGCAGGGCCCAGUGCCUCCCCCACACUGUGACACGCCACGUACAGUGACUGGGGAAGUCGGGUGUCCUGGGGACGUGGCUAUGGAAUAUCUGGACAAGGAAGGAGAUUAAUUUAUGGGGAGUUUCCCCUGGUAGCAGAGAAUUUUCUGCUUGCUAUGACACUGGUAACCCACAUGGGUGUGCGACGCCCUGAGAACAACAUGGGGCUGAGGAAGCAGUGUGUGGCAGUGCACACAGUCUUGCAGAGGUGUGUGUUCCAAAUGACAAAUGCCUCUGAGACCUAGUACCAGGGGUACUAGCACCGCCACACCAUACCCACGCUUGGAAAGCGCCAAUAACUAUUCUGAUUUGGCCUGCUCGUGUCACAGUGGCAGGGGCCG